AUUGGUUUUUCCACUCCUGCCUCAACGCCGUGGCCGAGCUGCUGCAGUUCGGGGACCGCGAGUUCUACCGGGACUGGUGGAACUCCGAGUCCGUCACCUACUUCUGGCAGAACUGGAACAUCCCCGUGCACAAAUGGUGCCUCAGGCAUUUCUACAAGCCCAUGCUCAGGAGGGGCGUCAGCAAGUGGGCGGCGCAGGCGGCCGUGUUCCUGGCUUC